rnacentral:rRNA from 1 species
CCUACGGGCGGCAGCAGUGAGGAAUAUUGGUCAAUGGACGAGAGUCUGAACCAGCCAAGUAGCGUGAAGGAUGACUGCCCUAUGGGUUGUAAACUUCUUUUAUAUGGGAAUAAAACGUUCCACGUGUGGGAUUUUGUAUGUACCAUAUGAAUAAGGAUCGGCUAACUCCGUGCCAGCAGCCGCGGUAAUACGGAGGAUCCGAGCGUUAUCCGGAUUUAUUGGGUUUAAAGGGAGCGUAGGUGGAUUGUUAAGUCAGUUGUGAAAGUUUGCGGCUCAACCGUAAAAUUGCAGUUGAAACUGGCAGUCUUGAGUACAGUAGAGGUGGGCGGAAUUCGUGGUGUAGUGGUGAAAUGCUUAGAUAUCACGAAGAACUCCGAUUGCGAAGGCAGUUCACUGGACUGCAACUGACACUGAGGCUCGAAAGUGUGGGUAUCAAACAGGAUUAGAUACCCUGGUAGUC